UCUGAAUAAAUCUGUGUCACUCCUUUCACAUUAACAAAACGCCAUGAACUCAUUACCGAAUCACAUUGCUUCAGCAUGUAAUUUGAAUUUAAAUAAAAAAUUAUAUUUAAUGUGCAUACAUGACUGAAAUUUGUUUCUCUCAGAAACUACGUGCAUGAGGAAGAAAGAACUGAAGAAUCCAGCGUCGAUUCGAGUGUCCUUUUCUCCUCGUCGGAUUCAGAUUUCAGAGACUAGGGAACAGAUCAGUAGAUGCAGCAUUUGAGUUUGUUUAGUUGCCAGCUGCUGGCUCUCCUUUUUUUAUUGUUCAGAUUUAUUAAUUUAUAUUUUCUAGAACUUAGAUUUGUGUGCAUUGCACUCAAGAAAUUUUUGUGAGAAUUGUUGAAUUAGAUAUGUUACAUUUUUAAUUAGCCAAUAGUGAUUGCAAUGUCUUGGAGAUUCAUAAAUUAUAAAUUAUAAGUUAAUUGAAAGUUAGCUGGUAGAUAUGGAGAGGAUUUUGAUGUGAUUUAUGUAGAAUCUGCUGGUUCUGCUCUCAUGUCGACUUGUAUAGCAAGUCAAUUAUUGUUGUAAAGAUUUUCAUGAAACUUGAGUUACUGUAUAAAUAUAUGUGGUCUGCACUUACUGUUUAAUACUUUAAUCAAUGUUCAUUUGUUAUUGAUUUA